GCUGUAGCUUAGUGGUACAGCAUUUGCCUUGCAUCCAAAAGGUCCCAGGUUCAAUCCCCAGCAUCUCCA